rnacentral:tRNA from 1 species
AACCCAGUAGUUUAUUUUAUAGAAACAUCAUUUUUGUAAAAUGGAAAAGUAAUUUUAUUACCUGGGUUU